GCAUGCUGCUCCGCAGAGUGAGCUGGGCAGCCUUGUGUCUGAAUCAGGUAGUUUGCAGAUGCGGCUGGUAAUUGAGACAGCAAAUGGAAUAGUGUCCUUCAUUGCGAGAGUGAUGCAGUUUAAAAAUCGGGAGGGUAUGCUACAGUUGUAUAGGGUGCUGGUGAGGCUUGGUGUGGAGUAUUUUGUACAGUUUUAGUCUCCUCACUUGAGAAAGGAUGUACUUGCACUGGAGGGGGUGCAAAGGAGGUUCACGAGGUUGAUUCCAGAAUUAAAAAUGUUGCUGUAUGAGGAGAGAUUGAGUAGACGAGGAUUGCAGUCACUGGAAUUUAGAAGAAUGAGGGGUGAUCUAAUAGAAACUUUCAAAAUUAUGAAACAAAUGGAUCGGAAAUUGUUUCCACUGAUGGGCGAAAUUCCAACUUGGGGGCACAGCCUCAAAAUAAGUGUGAACAGAUUUAAAACUGAGUUGAGGAUGAGCUUCUUCAUCCAAAGGGUUGUGAAUCUGUGGAAUUCUCUGCCCACUGAAACAGUUGAGGUUCCCUUGUUGAAUGUUUUGAAAGCCAAAACAGAUAGAUCUUUGAACAGGAAAGGAAUUGAGGGUUCUGGUGAAUGGGAGGGUAAGUGGAGCUGAGUCCGCAAAAAAGAUCAGCGGAACGAGCUGGAAGAGACAGAUGGCCUACUCCUGUUUUAUUUCUUAUGUCCGUAUGUCCUUAGAUUGCCAUCCUUGUCAUUCCUCCUUCCCUGGAAUAGGCCAGUUCUGAACUGAAGAGUAGGUCUUUAAAUAACUCCCACGUAUCAAAUGUUGACUUGUUCAAUAAAAGCUCCUCCCAAUUAAUACUGCUCAGCUCCUACCUAACACUGAUGUAAUUUUCCCUUCCCACAAGGUCCUGAUUAUCCAUGGCUGUCUUAAAAUGUAAGGAGAUGCAAUCGCCCAUUUAAGAAGCUCCUGGUUCACUGUUUUUCCCAAGUGGGAAUCAGCUACAGGCUUUCUUGUUCCACGAUGGGGGAGGAGAUGGCCUAGUGGUAUUAUUGCUGGACUGUUAAUUCAGAGACUGAGAUAACAUUCUGGGGACCUGUGUUCAAAUUCCAGCACAGCAGAUGGUGGAAUUUGAAUUCAAUCCAAAAGAAAAUCAUGAAUUAAGAAUAUAAUGAUGACCAUGAAUUCAUUGCCAAAUGUCAGAAAAACUCACCUGGUUCACUGAUGUGCUUUAGGGAAGGAAACUGCCACCCUUACAUGAUCUGGUCUAUAUGUGACUGCAGACCCACAGCAAUAUGAUUGACUUUGAACUGUCCCCUGGGCAAUGAGGGAUGGACAAUAAACACUGCGUAGCUAGUGAUGUCCUCCUCCCAUUAACAAAUAAAUAAAAUUGGAUUCUACAUCUUCCGAUCCAAGAUCGUUUCUUGCUCUCAGACUAAUUUCUUCGCUUACAGUCACUUUCCCUCCUGCCUGUCUUUUUGGAAUGUCGUAUAGCCCUGCGCACUUACCUCCAGUGUUGAUCUCCUUGUAACCAUGUCUUUGUAAUAGCUAUAAAAUCAUGCCCGUCAACCUAGAAAUGUGCUAUUAAUUUGUUGAUUUUGUUCUGAAUACAAUGAGCACGCAAGCAAAGAGCCAUGAAUUUAGCUUUAUCACUUGAUUUCACCUCUUGACACUAUUUACAGCUGUUUUCUGUUUGUACAUGCUGUCUUUUCCAGUACCACGCUGAGUAUUGUUAUCCCGAUAGUUCUUUCGUAUCAGUCCGUGUGUAUUCCUGGGCGAAUGUGCUCGUGUGGUCUCAGGAGUUGCGGAGGUCACGGCUCUGGGACAGCCGUUUCAUUGCCCGAUGCUGCAGGAAAAAAGCAAUGAAAGUGCCGUUAAUUUUUUGCAUGGCGAGCUGCUGCAUACUAACCGGUCUCACACCAUUACCAACACCUUGCCCUUGUGAAGGCAGAUAUGGAUAAGGUUCUCAAAGCUGAUAGAAAAUUGAAACCACUCUAAUCCUGUGACGAUGAACCUGCCCCGGAAGAGAGAGCCCAGAGAAUUGCCAAAGCUGUCCGCAAACAGUCAAUAGAAGUGAAGGAAAAUUGGGAACAACUGAAAAUCCAUGCGAGCAACUGGCAGAAACAGGUGGAAAAGGCGUUGGAGAAACUUCAAGAACUGCUGAAAGCUCUGGAUGAUCUUGAGGCUCACGUGAUAACAGCUGAGGGGGUCCACACUGAUUGGCAACCUGUGAGUGACCUGCUUAUUGACUCAUUGCAGGAUCACAUUGAUAAAACCACAGGUAAGGACUAUCUGCAAAAUCUGAGAUUGGGUUUUGAAAGACAGCAGCCUUUGUUUUGGAGAGAUAAUUGGAACUGCAGAUGCUGGAGAAUGCGAGAUAACAACGUGUGGAGCUGGAUGAAGACAGCAGGCCAAUCAGCAUCUUAGGAGCACAAAAGCUGACGUUUCGGGCCGAGAACCACCUUCAGAAAAUGGGGAGGGGGUGCGGGUUCUGAAAUAAAUACGGAGAGAGGGGGAGGCGGAUGGAAGAUGGAUGGAGGAGAAGAUAGGUGGAGAGGAGAGUAUGGGUACGGAGGCAGGGAGGGGAUAGGUCAGUCUGGGGAGGCCGGACAGGUCAAGGGAGCGGGAUGAGGGGAAAUAGGGGUGCGGCAUGAGGUGGGAGGGGGGAUGGGUGAGAGGAAGAAUAGGUUUGGGAGGCGGGGACGAGCUGGGCUGGUUUUGGGAUGCAGUGGCAGGACAGGAGAUUUGGAAGCUUGUGAAAUCCACAUUGAUACCAUUGGGCUGCAGGGUUCCCAAGCAGAAUAUGAGUUGCUGUUCCUGCAACCUUCGGGUGGCGUUAUUAUGGCACUGCAGGAGGCCCAGGUUGGACAUGUCCUCUCGGGAAUGGGAGGGGGAGUUGAAAUGGUUCGUGAUGGCAAGUGCAGUUGUUUACUGCAAACUGAGCGUAGGUGUUCUGAAAAGCGGUCCCCAAGCCUCUGCAUCGUUUCCCCAAUGUAGAGGAAGCCACAACGGGGACAGCGGAUGUUUUGGAUAUUUCUUAAGCAUUGAUUUUCAUUCAGAGUUGGUUGGAUUUUGCUGAAGCAAUAGACAUAACUCACUAUGACGUAGACAAUGUCAGAGUUAAUGUUUCGCGUCCUGUGACCCUUCCUCAGAUCUCACUCUUCACUGAUGCUGCCAGACCUGCUGAGCUUUUCCAGCAACUUCUGCUUUUCUUGCUGAUUUACAGUGUCCACAGUUCUUUUGUUUUUUACGACACAGACAAAACUUGAUCUCUGCAGGAAGCAUGAUGCUGCAUUCUCCAACUUCCCUGCCUUUUUGUCAAAUGAUAUUGUCUUUUUAGGACAGAAGUGGCUUUUUUGUGUUUGUUUUAACUUCCGCACAUACUUUCUAUGCAGGUUAAAAGUCUACACCUUUUCAGUUCUCUGCUGCAUAAUGAAGACUUGGAACAAUUUUUUUUAGAAAGUAGAAAAUCAGUGUGGUUUGUUUUCCAAAAUGUGAUGUGUAAGUGCAACACUUAACAGUGUGUUCAUCAAACUAUUGUUUCCUUUGAUCUUUGUGUUGCAGAAAUUUCUAGAAUCAUUUCAUAUUUUUUUUUGAUAUAUUUUAGCAGCUUUCCUGGAGCAAGUCUGUUUUCCUUCGGAUGAGACGACUUUCAGACAUACUCCCUUUAUUAUGAGAUUCCAGUUACUGGAUUCCAGUUCCCUCUCCCCAUCCCCCUCUCUGAUGAAGGGUCUCGGCCCGAAACGUCAGCUUUUGUGCUCCUGAGAUGCUGCUUGGCCUGCUGUGUUCAUCCAGCCUCCCAUUUUAUUAUCUUGGAAUUCUCCAGCAUCUGAAGUUCCCAUUAUCUCUGGUAUCAAUGUGGACUUGACCAGCUUCAAAAUCUCCCCUUCCCCAACUGCAUCCCAAAACCAGCCCAGUUCUUCCCCUCCCCCUACUGCAUCACAAAACCAGCCCAGCUGUUCCCUUCCCCCGACUGCAUCCCAAAACCAGUCCAGCCUGUCUCCGCCUCUCUAACAUGUUGUUCCUCUCACCCAUCCCUUCCUCCCACCUCAAGCCACACCUCCAUUUCCGACCUACCACCUCAUCCUGCCUCCUUGACCUGUCCGUCUUCCCUGGACUGAACUAUCCCCUCCCUACCUCCUCACCUGUACUCUCCUCUCUACCUAUCUUGUUUUCUCUCCAUCUUCGGUCCGCAUCCCCCCCCUCCCUAUUUAUUCCAGUUCCCUCUCCCAUCCCCCUCUCUGAUGAAGGGUCUAGGCCCGAAAUGCUGCUUGGCCUGCUGUGUUCAUCCAGCUCCACACUUGGUUAUCUUGGAUUCUCCAGCAUCUGCAUUUCCCAUUAUCAGUGGCAUUUUCCUCUUGAUCAAAGUUUGUGCAAAAGCAACACGAUAUGGGGGGGCACGGUGGCUCAGCGGUUAGCAGUGCAGCCUCACAGCACUGGGGACCCAGGUUCAAUUCCAGCCUCAGGCAACUGUCUGUGUGGAAUUUGCACCUUGUCCCUGUGUCUGCGUGGGUUUCCUCCAGGUGCUCCGGUCUCCUCCCACAGUCCAAAGAUGUGCACGCUAGGUGGAUUGGCCAUGCUAAAUUGCCCGUAGUGUUCAGGGGCAUGGGUCUGGGUGGGAUGCUCCAAGGUUUGAUGUGCACUUGUUGGGCCAAAGGGCCUGUUUCCACACUGUAGGGAAUCUAAACAAUCCUGUUCCCACAUCUCCAUGUUAUAACCCUGCUGAUCACUGCCCACAGAGAUGUUUGAUAACAAAAGGAUAACAAUAAUAUUCAAACCCAGUGCUGGAGAUGUAUUUUAAAUACACUGAGGCCAGUGUCGAUCUCCAAAUCAACUUUUAUUUACAAAUGAACUGUCUUCAACUUUAGCACUGCCUCAUUCAGAGAUAGUUGCCAGGGUGUCAGCAUCUCUGACCCUCACUUCUUAUCUGUCAGCCAGGGCUCCCUGAUUUGGGCUGUUAAUAUGGAACAAUCAGGCAACUCAUAUUCUGUGAGGUUCAACUGGCCGACCUGGUCACAAUCCAGUGCGGUGUGUUCAUCGAAAAUCAAACGUACUAGAAAGAUACCAUUCCAUACCAGUGUAAAGGAAGGCAUGAGGCUAAACUGGGGAGGGAAGGGAACUGCUUAUUGGGGGUGGCCCAGAGAGUGGAAGAAAAUCGAAUGGGAAGAAGACCAUUUGAGACUGAGGGAGAGAGAUGUAAUUGCCUGAAUGAGGCAUUCCAAUUGCGAAAUGGAUUUUUGUGUGUACACCAUGUUCAGUUUCCCCGAUCUUAAUCUGUACUCCUCUUUAAAUCAUUAGUAUCUGAAAUUUGUGUAUCAUUUCCAAAUGCUCUGUCUCUAAUGUUAUGCUGUUGGAAUUGGUUGAACUGCAGAGAUAUCAUUUAUUUGCACAAAUGUGUUCAGUGAAAUGAGUUGCAUGCUAUAUAUGUAUUAUUCUUCCUGAUUCUAUUGUAUGCAUACAAAUUAAAGUUAGUUCCACUUUUGAACAACAAA